rnacentral:rRNA from 1 species
ACGCUCGACACCUACGGGAGCAGCAGUGGGGAAUAUUGCACAAUGGGGGAAACCCUGAUGCAGCGACGCCGCGUGAAGGAAGAAGUGUCUCGGUAUGUAAACUUCUAUCAGCAGGGAAGAAAAUGACGGUACCUGACUAAGAAGCCCCGGCUAACUACGCGCCAGCAGCCGCGGUAAUCUGAGCGGGCUGGCAAGGC